GAUGAACGCUGGCGGCGUGCCUAACACAUGCAAGUCGAGCGAACCCUUCGGGGUGAGCGGCGGACGGGUGAGUAACGCGUGGGUAACCUGCCCUAUACACACGGAUAACGUACCGAAAGGUACGCUAAUACGGGAUAAAGUUGUUGGAUGGCAUCUUCUAACAAUCAAAGCUCCGGCGGUAUAGGAUGGACCCGCGUCUGAUUAGCUAGUUGGUGAGGUAAUGGCUCAUCAAGGCGACGAUCAGUAGCCGACCUGAGAGGGUGAUCGGCCACACUGGAACUGAGACACGGUCCAGACUCCUACGGGAGGCAGCAGUGGGGAAUAUUGCUCAAUGGGCGAAAGCCUGAUGCAGCAACGCCGCGUGAGCGAUGAAGGUCUUCGGAUCGUAAAGCUCUGUCCUCAAGGAAGAUAAUGACGGUACUUGAGGAGGAAGCCCCGGCUAACUACGUGCCAGCCGCCGCAGUAA
rnacentral:rRNA from 1 species